AGUAAGCUCAGGGGAAUAGGGUUUUUUUCAGUUCCCCACUCUCUCUCUCUAAGAUCUUCCUCUCUCUACAAGGGUUCGACGAUUUCGCUCGUUUUCGUCGCAUCGUGCGUUCUUCGCUGGUGACGAGCGUUGCAGAGCCUACGUGGACGUGUGGGGGAGUGUUUUGGAAGCAUUUUCGCAGCCCUAGACCAGGGAGGUGCUGGUUGGAAGCUUGAGAAGGUUGAGCUUUUCUCUUCGCAGCAGGUUUACGAAUCAUAUUAAGCUAUUUUGGUAACCUGGGAGGCUGGUUUAGAAGGUGUUCUAACCCGAGCGAGAUUGCAAUCGAGCCUUGAAUCAUCUUCAGUUGGCAUUGGAGAUCAAUUGGAGGCUUAAUUUGAGAUACCAAUGUAAUCCGAAAUAGGGAAUUUAAGU